rnacentral:rRNA from 1 species
UAGGGAAUCUUCGGCAAUGGACGAAAGUCUGACUGAGCAACGCCGCGUGAGUGAAGAAGGUUUUCGGAUCGUAAAACUCUGUUGUUUGAGAAGAACAAGGACGUUAGUAACUGAACGUCCCCUGACGGUAUCUAACCAGAAAGCCACGGCUAACUACGUGCCAGCAGCCGCGGUAAUACGUAGGUGGCAAGCGUUGUCCGGCUUUAUUGGGCGUAAAGCGAGCGCAGGCGGUUUCUUAAGUCUGAUAUGAAAGCCCCCGGCUCAACCGGGGAGGGUCAUUGGAAACUUGGAGACUUGAGUGCGGGAGAGGAGAGUGGAAUUCCAUGUGUAGCGGUGAGAUGCGUAGAUAUAUGGAAGAACACCAGUGGCGAAGGCUGCUCUCUGGUCUGUAACUGACGCUGAGGAUCGAAGGCGUGGGGAGCAAACAGG